rnacentral:rRNA from 1 species
UACAGAGGGUGCGAGCGUUAAUCGGAAUUACUGGGCGUAGGAGCGCGCGUAGGUGGUUCGUUAAGUUGGAUGUGAAAUCCCCGGGCUCAACCUGGGAACUGCAUUCAAAACUGUCGAGCUAGAGUAUGGUAGAGGGUGGUGGAAUUUCCUGUGUAGCGGUGAAAUGCGUAGAUAUAGGAAGGAACACCAGUGGCGAAGGCGACCACCUGGACUGAUACUGACACUGAGGUGCGAAAGCGUGGGGAGCAAACAGG